CCUGUUCCCAUGCCGAACACAGAAGUUAAGCUUCUUCACGCCGAGAGUAGUUGGUGGGAAACUGCCUGCGAGGGUAGGAAGCUGCCACGC
rnacentral:rRNA from 1 species